AUUGCCUUAGUAACGGCGAGUGAAGCGGCAACAGCUCAAAUUUGAAAUCUGGCCCCAGGCCCGAGUUGUAAUUUGCAGAGGAUGCUUUUGGCGCGGUGCCUUCCGAGUUCCCUGGAACGGGACGCCAUAGAGGGUGAGAGCCCCGUCUGGUUGGAUACCAAGCCUUUGUAAAGCUCCUUCGACGAGUCGAGUAGUUUGGGAAUGCUGCUCUAAAUGGGAGGUAUAUGUCUUCUAAAGCUAAAUACCGGCCAGAGACCGAUAGCGCACAAGUAGAGUGAUCGAAAGAUGAAAAGCACUUUGGAAAGAGAGUUAAACAGCACGUGAAAUUGUUAAAAGGGAAGCGUUUAUGACCAGACUUGGGCCGGUUAAUCAUCCAGCGUUCUCGCUGGUGCACUUUGCCGGUCCAGGCCAGCAUCAGUUCGCUGCGGGGGAUAAAGGCGUCGGGAAUGUGGCUCCUCCGGAGUGUUAUAGCCCUUCGCGCAAUACCCUGCGGUGGACUGAGGUUCGCGCAUCUGCAAGGAUGCUGGCGUAAUGGUCAUCAACGACCCGUCUUGAAACACGGACCAAGGAGUCGUCUUCGUAUGCGAGUGUUCGGGUGUAAAACCCCUACGCGUAAUGAAAGUGAACGCAGGUGAGAGCUUCGGCGCAUCAUCGACCGAUCCUGAUGUUCUCGGAUGGAUUUGAGUAAGAGCAUACGGGGCCGGACCCGAAAGAAGGUGAACUAUGCCUGUAUAGGGUGAAGCCAGAGGAAACUCUGGUGGAGGCUCGCAGCGGUUCUGACGUGCAAAUCGAUCGUCAAAUAUGGGGCAUGGGGGCGAAAGACUAAUC
rnacentral:rRNA from 1 species